GACGAACGCUGGCGGCGUGCCUAAUACAUGCAAGUCGAGCGGACAGAAGGGAGCUUGCUCCCGGAAGUCAGCGGCGGACGGGUGAGUAACACGUGGGCAACCUGCCUGUAAGACUGGGAUAACUUCGGGAAACCGGAGCUAAUACCGGAUAGGUUCUUCCCCCGCAUGGGGGAAGAUGGAAAGACGGUUUCGGCUGUCACUUACAGAUGGGCCCGCGGCGCAUUAGCUAGUUGGUGGGGUAAUGGCCCACCAAGGCGACGAUGCGUAGCCGACCUGAGAGGGUGAGCGGCCCACCUGGGAAUGGGACACGGCCCAGACUCCUACGGGAGGCAGCAGUAGGGAAUCUUCCGCAAUGGACGAAAGUCUGACGGAGCAACGCCGCGUGUGUGAAGAAGGCCUUCGGGUCGUAAAGCUCUGUUGUCAGGGAAGAACAAGUGCCAGAGUAACUGCUGGCACCUUGACGGUACCUGACCAGAAAGCCACGGCUAACUACGUGCCAGCAGCCGCCGUAAGAC
rnacentral:rRNA from 1 species